GUCGUCUCUUCCCACUGGCCAAAGCCAACCGGAAGUCUUCCAGUUAGUGAAGAUGUUCACGCAGCUCAGCCGCUCCAGACGCAGAGCAUGGUGGGAAGGUGCGGAAGAGCCGCUCUGGAGGGGCACAGGGAAAGCCAGUGGCCCGCUAGGUCAAACCAUUUUACCAUAUGAAACCCCUAUCAGAAGCUGAUAGAGAAAAAGCAAGUAAACAGAAGAUUCCAAAAUUCAUGGAAUUAUUGAAACUUGCACAGAGGGAAAAAAAAUUGGUGAUAUUUGAUCUUAAUGUUCCUCCACGACAGCAUCCUGCCAGAUCUGCAUAUAUCCAAAUUGCAGUGAGAGAGAUCCUUGACUCGCAAAUUGAGCAACACCUGAUUAUUUGGUUACCAGGUUCUCAAAGGGAGUAUGUCAGGAGCAGAGCUCCUGGUUUUCAGCACAUUGGCCGAUUAUUCACCAUUGAACAACUUACAAAACAAAAUAUCACUAGAAUAAAUGUUGACUACAAGAGGUUAUUCUACAAUGGGUUGAGAGAAUAUAAAGCAGCUAACAUCAACAUCAACUUGUAUGUCAUCAACGAACCUUGGCUCUUCUCACUGGCCUGGUGCUCCAGGAUUCAGUCAGUGACCACAGACAACAUUCAGGUCCUGAAUAAGAUCAAUCACCCUUACUACUUCAUG
rnacentral:lncRNA from 1 species